rnacentral:lncRNA from 1 species
CUCAAGGAACCCAGAGAAACCAGAACAAGAAAUCUACUUGGUCUAGCCUUAAAAACCUGAUAUAUUGAGUGUGAAGAUCUGAGUAUGACUGAGCACAAAUCACUUGACUUUUCUGAGCCUCCUUGGCUCAUCUGUGAAAUGGGGAAAGGUGCUCUUUGUGCCUGAAGAUUGCGAGCUUGCAGGUGGCCUCUGGAGAAGUCUUCCUUGUCUGAGAUCUGUGAUGCUGUGAAUAAUACCAACCAAUACUCAAGAUACUAGUUACCACGUCCAUUGGUGGAAAACAAGGUUGAAACUAUUUUUAGAGCUUUAACCUAUUGCAGAUUAGUUUGAAGAAGAGGAAUACCUUUGAAAAGCCAAGGAAUGGUUUUAUAUACUAUAUAGAAGAUGAUGUAACUAAUAUGCACAUAUGCAGAGUAUUUUACAAUGUAUUAAUGCUUUUUUCCCAUAGAUUAGUUUGUUAUUUUUGCUAUUUUAUUAUUUUGAAAAUUGAACAAUGGCAACAAAUAGGAUGAUGUCAUCCUAAGGACACUAAAGCAGCAGAGGAUAGAAGCUUUUCCUAGAACUUAGGGACUGCAAAGGAAUUUAGAGUCUUUUUAAUCCAAUGUUUUGCAAGCUUGGUCACCUAUUGAAAUCUCUAGAAGAUUAUUUUAAAAAUACUGUCCCUAAAUUGCUCAUUUGAAUCACAAAUUCAGUGGCUGGGAUCUGUGCUUUAGUCUUAUAUUAAUACUCCUCAGAGUGGAGAACAUUGAUCUAGUUUUGAUUUUUGAUGUAUUUCUUUGAUAGUAUCUUGCUUGAUGGGCUGCAGUUUUGGGUUAUCCCUCCCUGACACCCAAGUGGAAACUUCUGGAUGAUGACCCAGAAAUUUACCCAAACAAUGUGAAUGCCAUGGAAACUAUUGAAAAGGCUUUUGAACCUUGAAAUAAAUGUUGAGCCAAGGGAUAGUAUGGGUUAACAUUUUUUUUUUACAUGGGGCUCUGUCUUCUUUUUUGUGCUUCUAAGAAUGUUUAAAAAUGAUAGCAGGGAAUAUAUUUCAUUGCUUUAAUUGUUCAAGGUCUUUUAAAAGUAUGCAAUAAAAUACCAUUUAAGCUAACUGACCUUUAUAUUUUAAUGCUUUUUGGAAGGGAACAAUAC